UCAAAUUUGAAAUCUGGUACCUUCGGUGCCCGAGUUGUAAUUUGGAGAGGGCAACUUUGGGGCCGUUCCUUGUCUAUGUUCCUUGGAACAGGACGUCAUAGAGGGUGAGAAUCCCGUGUGGCGAGGAGUGCGGUUCUUUGUAAAGUGCCUUCGAAGAGUCGAGUUGUUUGGGAAUGCAGCUCUAAGUGGGUGGUAAAUUCCAUCUAAAGCUAAAUAUUGGCGAGAGACCGAUAGCGAACAAGUACAGUGAUGGAAAGAUGAAAAGAACUUUGAAAAGAGAGUGAAAAAGUACGUGAAAUUGUUGAAAGGGAAGGGCAUUUGAUCAGACAUGGUGUUUUGUGCCCUCUGCUCCUUGUGGGUAGGGGAAUCUCGCAUUUCACUGGGCCAGCAUCAGUUUUGGUGGCAGGAUAAAUCCAUAGGAAUGUAGCUUGCCUCGGUAAGUAUUAUAGCCUGUGGGAAUACUGCCAGCUGGGACUGAGGACUGCGACGUAAGUCAAGGAUGCUGGCAUAAUGGUUAUAUGCC
rnacentral:rRNA from 1 species